rnacentral:rRNA from 1 species
GGAAUAUUGCGCAAUGGGCGAAAGCCUGACGCAGCGACGCCGCGUGAGGGACGAAGGCCUUCGGGUUGUAAACCUCUUUCAGCAGGGACGAAGCGAAAGUGACGGUACCUGCAGAAGAAGCACCGGCCAACUACGUCCCAGCAGCCGCGGUAAUACGUAGGGUGCAAGCGUUGUCCGGAAUUAUUGGGCGUAAAGAGCUCGUAGGCGGUUUGUCGCGUCGGCUGUGAAAACCCGGGGCUCAACCCCGGGCCUGCAGUCGAUACGGGCAAACUAGAGUGUGGUAGGGGAGACUGGAAUUCCUGGUGUAGCGGUGAAAUGCGCAGAUAUCAGGAGGAACACCGGUGGCGAAGGCGGGUCUCUGGGCCAUAACUGACGCUGAGGAGCGAAAGCGUGGGGAGCGAACAGG